UACAGAGGGUGCGAGCGUUAAUCGGAAUUACUGGGCGUAAAGCGUGCGUAGACGGUUAUUUAAGUCGGAUGUGAAAGCCCCGGGCUCAACCUGGGAAUUGCAGUGGAUACUGGGGAGCUAGAGUGCGGUAGAGGGUAGUGGAAUUCCCGGUGUAGCGGUGAAAUGCGUAGAGAUCGGGAAGAACACCAGUGGCGAAGGCGGCUACCUGGACCAGCACUGACACUGAGUCACGAAAGCGUGGGGAGCAAACAGG
rnacentral:rRNA from 1 species